rnacentral:tRNA from 2 species
GUCCCUUUCGUCUAGAGGUCAAGGACACUACCCUUUCACGGUAGUAACACGGGUUCGAACCCCGUAAGGGAUA